UGGGGAAUAUUGGACAAUGGGCGCAAGCCUGAUCCAGCCAUGCCGCGUGAGUGAUGAAGGCCCUAGGGUUGUAAAGCUCUUUCACCGGUGAAGAUAAUGACGGUAACCGGAGAAGAAGCCCCGGCUAACUUCGUGCCAGCAGCCGCGGUAAUACGAAGGGGGCUAGCGUUGUUCGGAUUUACUGGGCGUAAAGCGCACGUAGGCGGACUUUUAAGUCAGGGGUGAAAUCCCGGGGCUCAACCCCGGAACUGCCUUUGAUACUGGAAGUCUUGAGUAUGGUAGAGGUGAGUGGAAUUCCGAGUGUAGAGGUGAAAUUCGUAGAUAUUCGGAGGAACACCAGUGGCGAAGACGGCUCACUGGACCAUUACUGACGCUGAGGUGCGAAAGCGUGGGGAGCAAACAGG
rnacentral:rRNA from 1 species